GCUCCUCGGCGUCCUCCUCCCCUGCUGCUGUGCGUCCUCCUCCCCUGCUGUUGCGUCGCGUCCUCCUCCUCUGCUGCUGCAUCACAAGCUCCCUACUGGUUUGUCCAUUUUGUUUCUUCGUUUUGCGGCUGACCGGAGAAGAACAGGUAAGAAUUCGCAACUACAGAUAUGUUUCUGCGUCCUCAUCUUCUACAUCGUAGAUUUGUCUGUUUAGUUGGAUAUCAGUUCAUGAAAAAUAGGUUACCUAACUUAAUAAAUUCCAUGUACCAUUAAUAAUUUUAACGAGAUUCAAUUGGAGGAAAUAUAAUUUUAAAAAGAAUGAUUUAGGCAUGUUUCUAUUCUAUAAUUCUGUUUGUGUGUUUCAUCGUCAAUUGGAGGAAAAUAUAAUUAAAAAAAGAAAGAUUUAGGCAUGUUUCUGUUCUAUGAUUCUGUUUGUGUGUUUCAUCGGACUGGAAUUUUGGCGAUUUCGCUACUAUAUUAAAAGUACUAACUCUAAAUAUAAUUAUAGGCUUCUUAUAGUUCGAAUUCCAAGCUCCGGAAAUAAAUUCCAAUUUUUUUUCUGAUUUUCCUAUCCUCUGCUUCCACUAAACUUCUCUUCAGGAAAAGAUUGCUCUUAAGUUUCUGGCAGUAGCACGUCGUAAUUUAUAUCUUAUAAAGAUAAAGUUGAAUGAAAAAUCUGUAAUAUCUGUAGUUGCGAUUUUUUUUAUUCUUUUUUAUAUUCAUGUGAUGACGCACGUUGUAAUUUAUAUCUUAUAAAGAUAGAGUUGAAUGAAAAAUCUAUAAUAUCUUUAGCUGCGAUUUUUUUUCUUCUUUUUCAUAUUCAUGUGAUGAAUCAAAUACUUCUUUAUUGUAUACCUUGUGGUGAAACAACAACAACAACAACAACAACAACAACAACUACCCAGUAUAGUCCCACAAAGUGCGGUAUGGGGAGGGUAAUAUGUAGACGGGCCUUACCCCUACCCGAAAGGGCAGAGAGGCUGUUUCCAAUCGACCCUCGGCUCAGUGAAGCAAAAGGAACAACAAAAACAAAAACAACAACAAAAGAGCAUUAGUAGCUUCAGAAGAAAUAGCGUAAAUAAUUAUCUAAACAUAAGAACUAUAAGUAAAAUAGCAUGCAAUAAUAUCAGACAGUAACUACCAUAAAUAACUACCAUACGGGAGACACAAUACAAUACACAAAUCAUCUAUGGAUAGCUCUGCCAAGCCUCACCCAACCCCGGGUGAGGGGUACGAAAAUUUCUAGGGGCCCCUAUCCUACAACCCUGAUACUAGACCUCCAGACUUUCCUAUCAGGGCCAUGUAUACUUUGUGGUGAAUCUAAUUCGUUAAACUCCUCUAAGUCAAUAGCACACAAACAUAGGCUUGUUGAAUAUGAACAGGCAUAGUUUUAUGAUAAAAAAAUUAGAAACAGAAUAUGAUAAAACCUACGGUUAAAGCUGCUGGAGAAAUUUACCCAUGCCUUAUAUUCUUUGGAAAAACCUUUACCAGGAAUAUAGAGAUACGAGCUUUACGAAAGUAUGUAAUCACAAUCCAUUUUGUUGGUUGGCGAAGUAAAGCUGUUGUAAAAGGGCCUAUUUCAGUGUUAUCAACUGCGUGCUUAAGACCUGAAGCGAUGCUCAAAACAUGUUGAGCGUUUCGCCUCGUUUAGUGAGCGCUUCAUUUAGCUUUCCAGUUCAACUAAAAGGCUUAUGUUUCUAAGCCUUUCUCUAUUCUAGUUUUUCCAGAUAUAAUAACAACAACAACAACAACUACCCAGUAUACUCCCACCAGGUGGGGUCUGGGGAGGGUA
rnacentral:lncRNA from 1 species